CCUACGGGAGACUGCAGUGAGGAAUAUUGGUCAAUGGCGGGAAGGCUGAACCAGCCAUGCCGCGUGAAGGUCAGUGCCCUAUGGGCGUUAAACUUCUUUUGUGCGGGAGCAAUACUGGUCACGUGUGGCCAGACGAGAGUACCGUAGGAAUAAGCAUCGGCUAACUCCGUGCCAGCAGCGGCGGGAAGACGGGGGAUGCAAGCGUUAUCCGGAUGUAUUGGGGUUAAAGGGUGCGUAGGCUGUGAGGUAAGUCAGCGGUGAAAUGCCCCCGCUCAACGGGGUGAAGUGCCAUUGAUACUGCCUGGCUGGAAUGCGGAUGCCGUGGGAGGAAUGUGUGGUGUAGCGGUGAAAUGCAUAGAUAUCACACAGAACACCGAUUGCGAAGGCAUCUCACGAAUCCGCGAUUGACGCUGAUGCACGAAAGCGUGGGUAUCAAACAGGAUUAGAUACCCUAGUAGUC
rnacentral:rRNA from 1 species